AUUAUAAAUGAUUUUCUUAAAAAGAAAGGAAUAAGAUUUAAUAUUUUAUUCCAGUUUAAUGAGUUUUCAAAGGUUUAUAUUUAAACCCCGGGUUAUUGUAUUAUUGAUAAAUAAUUGUAUUUUCAAAAUGGAUUUUUAUAUAUUGUUUUGAAAAUUCUGUAUGAAUAUUAUGUGAAUAUAUGUGUUAUGUGAUUAAGUGGUAUUGGUGAAUUUGUUUGUUAAUUAGUUAUGAUUAAUUAUUAAUAUUAUAUGAUUAAUAUAUGAAUUUUUGUGAAUUUUAUAUUAUCUAGUUUAUUGAGCUGAAUGCUCGUAUGUGUUCGUAAUUGAGAUAUUUCAAUUUCUAUAUGCUCAGGAGAAAAUAUAGUUUAUUUGGAUAUUUUUAUAUUGAUUUAUGGAAUGUUAGAUGAUUUUAUAAUCGAUUUACGGAGUUAAUUGUGUAUAUUUAUAUUUAUUUAUUAAUUAUUUGACUUCCGUAAAACCGUCCACUCGUAACGAGGUAGCAAAUUUUCUUCCCGGAAGUUUCGAGAAAACUCACCAUUAGCCUAAUAUCAAUAUUCCGGACAUUUUUCGUGUUUUGACUUUUUCGAUCCGGAGUACGGUUUUCCCUGGAGCCGGUCCGGCGGAGCUUUUCGGUAUUCGAUAAUUAUCCAUUUUGUCUCGAUAAACGUGAACCGAGAUAUUUUCUUCAUCCUUAUCAUGUAAUAAUUGCAAUGGGACCCGCAGACCAAUAAUUGAGUUAAAAAGCCCCGUUUUGAUGAUUAUCUUGAAAACUAGUACCGAUUGGACCCCACUUUCUUAAUAUAAAGUUAUUAAAUACGUAUUUUCAUGCCAUAUACGAUCCAAAGGGGUACCAAUUAUUUGUAAAUAUAAAUAUACCUUUCUAGAGCUGAUUUUCACCCGUAAAAUCAUUUCACCAGUUUCUCUGCACGAAUACCGAGAGAAACCGAGCGGUGUUCUUCGUGUUCUUCAUAUUCAAACGUGGAUUUGAAGGCGUUAUUGGAGUCGGAAUCAAGCGUGCGAGUAGUCAAAUCGAAGAUAUCGAAGAGUAGAAUCCAUAUCAAUGAUCAAAAACAACAUGAGAUUCACAGGAUUGGGAGGAGACUUGUACGCUCGAAGACGUCAGGAAGUCGGAAUGGUAUUGCAAAGCGAAUAAGGGAUGAAUCGAGUAAGCGAAGCGAUGUGGCGAAUAGAGUAUAGCUAGAGAUGGUCUAGAGAUUAUGAGAUGCAUAGAUUGCGAAAGUGGAAAGAUGAGAAUGAGCUGUGAGACGGGAGUCAGAUUUAAGAAAGGCUUAAAGAUGAGAUGAUUGGUUGAGAUUGUGAAUAAGGCUAAUGCUAGACGAGGAGACAGAGUUGAGGAUCCAGUGGUCGAGGAGUGUUCAGGAAAGUGAUGAGGUUGGUGCAAGCUAGAACGGUGCUAUAGGGAUUCAAGUGUAAGUCGGAGCUGGAAGAGUUAACAGUGAUUCUUCGUAUCGAAGAUGAUCUGAUUUGGUAAGAAUUGUUGUGUUAGUGGUGGAUUCUAAUUUCAAUACUGUAACCUGGAAGCGAUCCUGUUGUUUUUGGGGGUUUAAAUGUUCUAUUUCGAAUCAUUUAUUAAAGUUUAAAGAUUUUCUGGAAAUUCUUUUAUGAUGGUUUUCAAGUCUGGAAUUCAAGUUUUGAAAUCAUUUGAAUUAUGUUCUUAUUCAAAUCUUUUAAUAAAUGUUUCCAAGUUUUAAAUUCUUUUGGAUUUUCAUUAUUUUUAAAUAAAAAUACAGGGUUUCAAAAGUGUUUUAAAAAGGUUUUGUGUGGUGACGUCAGAAUCCAGACCCCCGGAUUCUGGGGCUGUCACAGUUGGUAUCAGAGCAACAGGUUAUAAGUAUUUGAAAUUAGAACAUAGAUCAUAGUUAUAGGUUCUCUAGAGAAGAAUGUUGGGUAACCUCGUAUAGGGGUGUUGUGAGACUAUUUAGAGAUAGUCUAGAGAUGUGAUGGAGGUAUAGAAUCUGGUUAGACGAUUAAAUUGAGUGUAUAGGUUUAAAGAGAUUAGGAUUCUUAAGUUUAGACAUAUGAUUUCUAGUAUGUGGAUUAAUUGAGAUGGUGCAUUGUGGGAAAGGUCAGUAUUAGACCUAUAUAGAAAAGGUUGAUAGUGAAUGACUGAGUUGAGAAUGGUGAAAAUGCAGAGUUCAGAGUAUUCUGACUAUACUGCAUAGUUGAAAAUUGGAUUAUUGUAUUGAUUUGAGGAUGAUAUAAAUGCAUGGUUCAUAGUAUGUUGACCAUGUCAGAUAUUUGGAAGAUGUAUAUUGUUUUGAGUGAAGAUAUGAAGAGUAAGUGUAGAAUAUGAGUUGUAUUGGAUUAGAAGGAGAGAUUGGUAGAUAGAGGUUGAUAGGUGAGAAGUGAAUGAUAGAGAGUACGUGGAAUUGAGUCCAGUUAUUAGAGAUGAUGCCUACGAGUAAGUUAGAACGUUAGUCCUCGACGACAAUGCUUCGAGCUAAUCGGGAUUUCAAAUGGCAUCAAGGUGGGCCCAUAACCCACAGGUUGAUGAUCCAGACAAUCGAAGAUAUGUUACGUGUUUGUGCUAUGGAUUUCAAAGGCAACUGGGAUAAAGUAGAAGAAUGUAAACUACAUGGGCCAGAGUUGUUACGGACGAUAACGUCUACAAUGACAUCUUACGAGGCUAUUACGAGUCAAAUCGAUUGAUCAUCAAGAACGUUGAAAAGAAGACAUAUAUCGUACAAUGAUUUAUUGAAGUAAAGUAGGAACCUGAGAAGACCUUGGCAAUACCUCUCUUCAACUAAAGAUUCUUUUGAUUGUUUUAUCAUCAGUGAGAUAUUAUCAUGAUAUCUUUUCCACAAAAGUUUUGAUAAAUGAGAUCUUCAAAUUCUCAAAUUCUAAGAUGACAUUGAUAUUGAUUAUUGAUAUGAGUUGGAAAGCAAAGAGGUGUGAUAAAGGUUUGUUGUGAAGAGAUAGUGAUGUUCCUUGAUAUUGUUUGACAUUUCUUGACAUUCCUUGAUAUUCUUUCAUCAUCCUUGAUAUCCCUUGAUGUUCUUUGAUAUUCUCGAGAUUCUUUGAUAUUCUUUGAGAUUCCUUGGAUUCUUUCAAUUUGAUUGGGAUGAACAACCCUAUUUAUAGGGGACACAAGGUAUACCUGUCUGUGUGAUAGGAGUUAGAUGGGACGCCAUCACUUGUGUGUGUUGUGAUUACAAGAAGGUUAACAACCUUUAGUAGUGUCUAAUAUGGACACGCAACAUUAAGUUCAAUUGAUCGUAUCGAUCUCCCAGUCACUCUUGUAUUCCAAUGUGACCUAAUUUCAAAACAUCUUGUUCUUUCAAAUUUCUCCAAGAUUGAUUCUUGGGAAAUAAAUUUUGUAAUUGUGAAAGUUUGAUUCUCCUAUUUCUUUAAAGUCAAAGGUAUGCCAAGGUUGAUCAAAAGGUGGAUGACGAUACGAUAUUACGAAGUGUGUACGUUUUAGUUUUCUUCGGAGGAUUCCGAGGACGGAAUCCUUAUAAGGGGGGUAGAAUGUAAUAUCCCAUAUUAUUAAAUUCAGAUUUUAUUAUUAUAAAUCUAUUUGUCUAAAUAUUAUUGUUGGCUUUAGUUGAAAAGUGAAUUGAUUAUGUGAAAGUUUUAUAUGAUUAUACUUGUGUGUGGAUGGAUAUGGAUUUUACAGAUUAUGCGUCCUCCUUCUUUCUCUGAUUCCGAGGACGGAAUCCCUAUAAGGAGGGUAGAUUGUAAUAACCCGGAUUUUUAAAAAUAUUUUUCUUAAUAUUAUAAAUGAUUUUCUUAAAAAGAAAGGAAUAAGAUUUAAUAUUUUAUUCCAGUUUAAUGAGUUUUCAAAGGUUUAUAUUUAAACCCCGGGUUAUUGUAUUAUUGAUAAAUAAUUGUAUUUUCAAAAUGGAUUUUUAUAUAUUGUUUUGAAAAUUCUGUAUGAAUAUUAUGUGAAUAUAUGUGUUAUGUGAUUAAGUGGUAUUGGUGAAUUUGUUUGUUAAUUAGUUAUGAUUAAUUAUUAAUAUUAUAUGAUUAAUAUAUGAAUUUUUGUGAAUUUUAUAUUAUCUAGUUUAUUGAGCUGAAUGCUCGUAUGUGUUCGUAAUUGAGAUAUUUCAAUUUCUAUAUGCUCAGGAGAAAAUAUAGUUUAUUUGGAUAUUUUUAUAUUGAUUUAUGGAAUGUUAGAUGAUUUUAUAAUCGAUUUACGGAGUUAAUUGUGUAUAUUUAUAUUUAUUUAUUAAUUAUUUGACUUCCGUAAAACCGUCCACUCGUAACGAGGUAGCAAAUUUUCUUCCCGGAAGUUUCGAGAAAACUCACCAUUAGCCUAAUAUCAAUAUUCCGGACAUUUUUCGUGUUUUGACUUUUUCGAUCCGGAGUACGGUUUUCCCUGGAGCCGGUCCGGCGGAGCUUUUCGGUAUUCGAUAAUUAUCCAUUUUGUCUCGAUAAACGUGAACCGAGAUAUUUUCUUCAUCCUUAUCAUGUAAUAAUUGCAAUGGGACCCGCAGACCAAUAAUUGAGUUAAAAAGCCCCGUUUUGAUGAUUAUCUUGAAAACUAGUACCGAUUGGACCCCACUUUCUUAAUAUAAAGUUAUUAAAUACGUAUUUUCAUGCCAUAUACGAUCCAAAGGGGUACCAAUUAUUUGUAAAUAUAAAUAUACCUUUCUAGAGCUGAUUUUCACCCGUAAAAUCAUUUCACCAGUUUCUCUGCACGAAUACCGAGAGAAACCGAGCGGUGUUCUUCGUGUUCUUCAUAUUCAAACGUGGAUUUGAAGGCGUUAUUGGAGUCGGAAUCAAGCGUGCGAGUAGUCAAAUCGAAGAUAUCGAAGAGUAGAAUCCAUAUCAAUGAUCAAAAACAACAUGAGAUUCACAGGAUUGGGAGGAGACUUGUACGCUCGAAGACGUCAGGAAGUCGGAAUGGUAUUGCAAAGCGAAUAAGGGAUGAAUCGAGUAAGCGAAGCGAUGUGGCGAAUAGAGUAUAGCUAGAGAUGGUCUAGAGAUUAUGAGAUGCAUAGAUUGCGAAAGUGGAAAGAUGAGAAUGAGCUGUGAGACGGGAGUCAGAUUUAAGAAAGGCUUAAAGAUGAGAUGAUUGGUUGAGAUUGUGAAUAAGGCUAAUGCUAGACGAGGAGACAGAGUUGAGGAUCCAGUGGUCGAGGAGUGUUCAGGAAAGUGAUGAGGUUGGUGCAAGCUAGAACGGUGCUAUAGGGAUUCAAGUGUAAGUCGGAGCUGGAAGAGUUAACAGUGAUUCUUCGUAUCGAAGAUGAUCUGAUUUGUGUGAUGUUUGUGUUGAAAAUGAAUUUUACGGUGUACUGGGAGAUCUGGAAUUCUCGCAUCAACAACACUUUCGACAGGUUUAUAGCCGGUGUCCGGCAGGUUGAUAAUUAGGGUGCGUUUGAAACUGUAUUGAAAAUUGCAUGUGCUCAUCUCUCACACAAAAUAUCUGUUCAUAACAUGAGACCUCUAAACUCUUAACAUCCAUGAAAUUAUUGUGAGUGUCAAUUGUGAAGCUACUCUUUUCAAGAGAGAUGCAGACUGGAUUGCCUGUGAAAUCAUUAUAUUUAUUUUUAUUUCUCAAAAUAUUUGUAUUCAGUUAGUUAAACAAUCCGGAAACAAAACGAUUAA